rnacentral:tmRNA from 1 species
CUGUCAGAAUGACAGGGUCCGGCUUCGUCGGACUAGGUGAUCCACACCAGUGUUUCGGACAGCGGUUCGAUUCCGCUC